GCAAGCGGCGGGGCAGGUGUCGGGGAUAUGAGGAGGGGGAGAGCGUUAAUCGGAGUGACGGGGCGUAAAGCGCACGCAGGCGGGUGGAUAAGUUGGAUGUGAAAUCCCCGGGCUCAACCUGGGAAGUGCAUUUAAAACUGUCCAGCUAGAGUCUUGUAGAGGGGGGUAGAAUUCCAGGUGUAGCGGUGAAAUGCGUAGAGAUCUGGAGGAAUACCGGUGGCGAAGGCGGCCCCCUGGACAAAGACUGACGCUCAUGCACGAAAGCGUGGGGAGCAAACAGGAUUAGAUACCCUUGUAGUC
rnacentral:rRNA from 1 species